rnacentral:rRNA from 1 species
AGAGUUUGAUCCUGGCUCAGAUUGAACGCUGGCGGCAGGCCUAACACAUGCAAGUCGAGCGGUAGAGAGAAGCUUGCUUCUCUUGAGAGCGGCGGACGGGUGAGUAAUGCCUAGGAAUCUGCCUAGUGGUGGGGGAUAACGUUCGGAAACGGACGCUAAUACCGCAUACGUCCUACGGGAGAAAGCGGGGGACCUUCGGGCCUCGCGCCAUUAGAUGAGCCUAGGUCGGAUUAGCUAGUUGGUGAGGUAAUGGCUCACCAAGGCGACGAUCCGUAACUGGUCUGAGAGGAUGAUCAGUCACACUGGAACUGAGACACGGUCCAGACUCCUACGGGGGGCAGCAGUGGGGAAUAUUGGACAAUGGGCGAAAGCCUGAUCCAGCCAUGCCGCGUGUGUGAAGAAGGUCUUCGGAUUGUAAAGCACUUUAAGUUGGGAGGAAGGGUAGUAACUUAAUACGUUGCUACUUUGACGUUACCGACAGAAUAAGCACCGGCUAACUUCGUGCCAGCAGCCGCGGUAAUACGAAGGGUGCAAGCGUUAAUCGGAAUUACUGGGCGUAAAGCGCGCGUAGGUGGUUCAGUAAGUUGGAAGUGAAAUCCCCGGGCUCAACCUGGGAACUGCUUUCAAAACUGCUGAGCUAGAGUACGGUAGAGGGUGGUGGAAUUUCCUGUGUAGCGGUGAAAUGCGUAGAUAUAGGAAGGAACACCAGUGGCGAAGGCGACCACCUGGACUGAUACUGACACUGAGGUGCGAAAGCGUGGGGAGCAAACAGGAUUAGAUACCCUGGUAGUCCACGCCGUAAACGAUGUCAACUAGCCGUUGGGAGUCUUGAACUCUUAGUGGCGCAGCUAACGCAUUAAGUUGACCGCCUGGGGAGUACGGCCGCAAGGUUAAAACUCAAAGGAAUUGACGGG